UUAAAAAAAAAAAGAAAGUGGGCGCCUCCAUGUGCCAUCUUUAGCCUCCUGCUCCUUUGGGAAUUCUGAUUUGAGGAUGCUGGAGUUGCUGCUCUGGAGGAGCACUGGCCGUUGAACCCCCUCCACUCUUUCCCCGCUGACUUAUUUCAAGGACAUGUCUCAUUUGGGGGCUUCGCGGUUGUUUCCACAGUGCUGGUGAAAUGUCACAGCCCUGUGGUCGCACCUGGGGGUUGUUAGAUCUCUUCUCUCUAUCUCAUACUUCAGCUUCCUGUCUCUUCAUUUUUUCCGCCCUCCUCCCUUUCCCCAGCCCCCACUACAGCUCUUCAAGGGUCCACACAAGCCUGGAGCUAUAGUACGUUAUGUUCAAAGGAAACCACCCUCCACCACACGCCCAGAAGAGACAAUGACAACUUUAGAACUGAAGGAAUUUCCUUCCUUAUUCCAAGGUUCCAACAUCUUCACCGUUAGUCGUUAAGACAGCAGUGAGAGGGGUGGGGAGCCGAUGGCUGGCCCUAUAGGAAUGGAUGGUUACCCUGACAUUUAAGAACUUUAGAAAGAAAGUUGUUACAAGGGGGCUUUGAGUGCACAGAGAACUUAACAUCUCGACCAGACCAUGAGUUGUGUACUCACCUAAUAUUCUACCUCUAGGGUCAAAACCUGUCUUCCUCCACACGGGUCAGAGGAGGGUCAGGGCCUGCCUGACUCUCCUGGAGUAACGCUGAUGUUAUGUGGUGAAUAUUGUGGUGGUUUGAAUAGAUUUGGGCCCCAUAGACUCCCAUGCUUGAAUGCUUGUCCCAGGGAGUAGCACUAUUAGGAGGUGUGCCUUGUUGGAGUAGGUGUGGCCUUGUUGGAGUAUAUAUGGCCUUCCGGGAGGAUGUGCCUCACUGUGGCGGUGGAAUCCUUCUAUGCCCAGGCUCUGCCCAGUGUGGAUGGUAGUCUUGUUCUGGCUGCCUUAGGAUCAAGAUGUAGAACUCUCAUAUCCUCCAGCAUCAUGCCUACCUGGAUGCUACCAUGCUUCCUGCCAUGAUGAUAAUGGGCUGAACCUCUGAACCUAUAAGCCAGCCCCAACUAAAUGACACCUGGUCAUGGUGUCUCUUCACAGCAAUGAAAACCCUAACGAAGACAGAUAUGAAGUGUACCACAAAGGGCUCAUAGCCGGAGCAGCGGCGCUCUGGGCAGGAAUGAAGAUAUCCUUUGGCUACAGAGAGGACUGCAGAAGUGGUCCCCCAAGAAACUGGAAUUUCCCCAGGAAUCUCAUGCUGGGAGAAAGAAAAGGCUGAAGCUAUGCCAGCCCCGAGGACUGGAGGACUGCUGCGUUCUUUCCAUCCACAGAACUAAACACAUUAGAUGGAAAAGGGUUUCUCAGUAGCCCUGACUGUCAAAGAACUCACCCUGUAGACCAGGCUGGCCUCGGACCCAUCAAUCCACCCACAUGCCGCUGCCACCUGAAUGCAUGGGAUUAAUGACACGAACAACUCCACUGGGCGUAUUCAGAUGAUCUCAAGUGGAAAUAGAAGAACAAAAGAGGUGGCCACAAGAAGACGUCAUUGCUGAUUUGGAAGCCGAAAGAUGAGGGUAUGAGCUGGGGGCUGAGGUCAGGCUCUCACCGGCGCUAGGCAAGUGUUCUACCCUUGAGCUACAUCCCUAGCUGAGGCGGGGACUGAAGCAGAGAUCACAGGGGAACAGCACUUACUGGCAUGCUCUCUAUACAACCCAGAACCA
rnacentral:sRNA from 1 species